CAAUAGCGUAUAUUUAAGUUGCUGCAGUUAAAAAGCUCGUAGUUGGAUUUCGGGUGGGAAUGGCCGGUCCGCCGUUUCGGUGUGCACUUGCUACGCCCACCUUGCUGCCGGGGACGUGCUCUUGAGUUCACGCUCGGGACACGGAGUCGGCGAGGUUACUUUGAGUAAAUUAGAGUGUUCAAAGCAGGCCUACGCUCUGAAUACAUUAGCAUGGAAUAACACGAUAAGACUCUGGCCUAUCUUGUUGGUCUGUAGGACCGGAGUAAUGAUUAAGAGGGACAGUCGGGGGCAUUCGUAUUUUAUUGUCAGAGGUGAAAUUCUUGGAUUUAUGAAAGACGAACUACUGCGAAAGCAUUUGCCAAGGAUGUUUUCAUUAA
rnacentral:rRNA from 1 species